GGGGAAGUACUCAAGAGGCUGAAGAGGACGGUUUGCUAAAUCGUUAGACCGGGAAACCGGUGCGGGGGUUCGAAUCCCUUCUUCUCCG
rnacentral:tRNA from 1 species